GUAGGUUGUACUAGAAGUAGCUGGGCUAACCCGCAAGGGAGGCAGGUUACUACGGUAUGAUUUAUGAUUGGGGUGAAGUCGUAACAAGGUAGCUGUAGGUGAACCUGCAGAAGGAUCA
rnacentral:rRNA from 1 species